UAGCACCACUCUGGGCUUCCCAAGUUAAAGAAAGUUUACAAGGCCCCGGAAAUAGCUCAGGUGCCAGCAGGCUCUGGAGAAGCAGGCUAGGGAAGCAGAGGGAGGAGGAGGAGGAACAGGAAAAGGAAGGGAAGGAGGAGGAGGGGGAGGAGGAGUAGCUAACAUGGGCUGGCCACAGGGCUAGGCAGCAAAAGGGGGAACAAAUUAGACAUAUUCCUGCCCUUGGGUGGCUUACACCUCUGCAGGGGAAUUAAGUCAAGAUUACAAUGCCUACGAAUCAGAACAGUAGGGGGCAAGGCAGGUAGGAGGGUUUAGAGAGAUGUGAGAGGCUUUGGAAAGUGUGUGGGGAAGUAGAAAGACUUCAGGGGCAGAUGGACUCUGAACCCCAGCAUUCCUACCAGUGGGUGUGAUAUUCUGAGGCAAGUCAGAGAAGCUCUCUGAAACUUAAAUUUUCUACAUUAGAAAAUUGGGAUAAUCCUACUGAUACAGGAGGAAGGCAGGGAAGUGCUGGGAGGAGAAGGGUGUAGUCCCUGGCUAGGGCUCCACUCCCGGGCCUGGGCCCACGGACCUAGGUGAGGACAAGCAUUUCUGCUUUUGUGGUCAAAUGUUACAUUUUCCAAGAACACCCUGGCCGGCCACACCCCCAUCCUGUGCCUAUAAAAACCCCGAGACCCUAGUGGGCAGAGGCGCAAGUGGCUGGACGUCAAGAGGAACACUCUGGAGGAAGAGCACACCAACAGGCACUGGCAGAUGCAGGCAGGCCAUUGACUGGUGGAACAACACGGAGUUUGGCUGGGGUGGUCAGAGGAGAGUCCGGCUGCUAUGCAGCCUGACUCAAGGGGAAAACCUCUUCCCACUCCAACCCCCUUCUAACUCCCCAUCCAUCUGCCUGCCGAGAGCUACUUCCAUUCAAUAAAACCUUACACUCAUUCUCCAAGCCCAUGCGUGAUCUGAUUUUUCUGUUACACUAAGGCAAGAACCUGGGAUACAGAAAGCCCUCUGUCCUUGCAAUAAGGCAGAGGAUCUAAUUGAGCUGAUUAACACAAGCUGCCUGCAGAUGGCUAAACUGAAAGAGCACACUAUAACACACACCCACUGGGGCCUCAGGAGCUGUAAAUAUUCACCCCUAGAUGCUGCUGUGGUAUCAAAGCCCGCGCUCCCCACAACCGGCCUGUCUGCCUGCUCCCCUUAGGGAUAUGAGCAGUGGGGCACCAAAGUGAGCCACACCCCAGUGGCAUGCCCUGUGAGGAAGAUAAGGAAACUUUUUCCAUUUCACAACUCACCUAAUAAAGCUCAAGUGGUGACUAAGUCAGGAAAUAGAAGUACAAGAUCUUGUGUGGAGUAGGAAUUUAACUAACAGCAGCCAUUGCUGUUAUUAUUUAGAGCAGGGAUUGGCAAAAUAUGACCCUUGGGCCAAAUCUGUUCCACCGCUUGUUUUUGUACAGUCUGUGAGCUAAAAAGGAUUGCUGCAUUUUUAAAUGUUUUAGAAAGAAACAAAAGAAGAAUACUAUUUCAUGACACAUGAGCAUUGUAUGAAAUUCAAAUUUCCAUGUCCAUAAAUAAAAGUUUUACUGGAACACACCAUGCUCAUUUGUUUACAUGUUGUCUAUGGUUUAUUUUGUUCCACAACUGCAGAGUUGAGAAGUUAGUUGUGACAGAGACCAUACGGCCCAGAAGGCCUAAAUCAUGUACC
ensembl:lncRNA